UUGGUAUCAUGGCAGUGUCUGGGCAGCAGGGGAGAGCCCUGGCUCACCUUUGUGUGGCUCUCGACAUCAGGAGGAGCUCCCUAGACAGAUUACAUUCACUGUGAUUCAUGCUGCUAUUCUUCAUUUUCUUGUCCUGUACCCUUGGGACUGCUAGAAGAUUGCAAAGGGAUGAAUGAACACUGCUUGGACAAAAAGAAGUAAAUGAGGAGCUGGAACCACAGCCCCUGUCCUUAGGAAUUCACAGUCUGCUGCGUUGGGCAGGACACGUCUCAAGG